UACGAAGGGGCUAGCGUUGCUCGGAAUCACUGGGCGUAAAGCGCACGUAGGCGGCUUGUUAAGUCAGGGGUGAAAUCCUGGAGCUCAACUCCAGAACUGCCUUUGAUACUGGCGAGCUUGAGUCCGGGAGAGGUGAGUGGAACUGCGAGUGUAGAGGUGAAAUUCGUAGAUAUUCGCAAGAACACCAGUGGCGAAGGCGGCUCACUGGCCCGGUACUGACGCUGAGGUGCGAAAGCGUGGGGAGCAACAGG
rnacentral:rRNA from 1 species